CAAGAAAAAUUUCUAAGAUACCAUUUAAAGUUUUAGAUGCUCCAGAACUGCAGGUUACCAAACUCUGUGAUCUUGCAUCUGAUGGGGACUCUGUGACAUCUGUGUCUUGGUCAGAAAGGAGUGGUCUGGUUGCUGUUGGGACUCACAAGGGUGACUUGUUCAAAUCUGGGAUGCAGGUGCACAAAAGAGAGUGUCUUAACUAUUGAAGGACAUACUGCUAUAGUUGGUGCCCUGGCAUGGAAUGAUGAAUUGUGCUCUCACCAGGGAGUAGGGACAGGCUGAUUCUACAGCAUGAUGCUAGAACACCCAAUGCUGUGGAGAGAAGAUUGAUUGGACACAGGCAAGAGCGAAAUAGAGAGAGCCUCCGGAAGACAAAUAUAAAGAAACUGCGCCCAACGGAAUCCAAGUCAGAGCUCAAUCACCAGUUUCCAGAAUAAGAUGAUGUUUACCCUAAGAAUUGGAUCUUCAACGUAAUGUACCGGUCAAUGUAAACCCCCGCACCCCCCGGCCGGGACAUAGCGGGGCAUUUGACAAGCGCUCACUUCUAAAGUUGCAAAGGACCCCAAGGUCAGGUUUUUCCUCUAAUUGAAGCUAACAACCCUGCUCACAUCCCCCGCUCUUGUUGAGUGGAAGACACAGGCUAAUGUAGAUGGUUUAAACUUUAUUUGUCGAGUAACACACGUCACCGCAUACAAUGCUUUUCAAAUGGUACAAAAUGUUUGUCGUGUCUUUAUAGUCUACUGUUAACAUAAAUAAGAAAAUAUUAAAUUCUACAUGUUAGUAGAAGAGGGUUAAAUGUUAGUGAAUGCAGUUUAAAAAUAUAUUUCAAAAUUUGAAAAAAUACACUGUUUCAUAGAAUGGGUUUAAAGAACACAUUUAACUUUCUGUUCCACCUUCUUGUUUCCACUGAAGACCUACUCCUGGCCAACUUCAGUUGGCA
rnacentral:lncRNA from 1 species